GAGAAAGCCAUAAAGGUUAUGGGGUUGACUUGAAAUCAACUUUUUGAGGGUUUCAAUUCCUUCCUUUCUCG
rfam:Sarcophilus harrisii ctg7180001513885, whole genome shotgun sequence.